AAAUUUUUGAACCCACAAAAUGGCGAAAAAAAAAAUCCUGUACAGUCAGUCAGCUGUCUGAAUUGAAUAAAUCGUUUGUAUUCUUCACCAUCUACGGCCAAAGUUUCCAUAACCUCUCCCACCACCACCUCUGCCUCCAGAAAAUCGACCUCCAUUUCUCCUGUCACCGCGACCACCACCAAAUCUUCCGCCUCUCUGCUGAUCUUUCUCUUGCAACCGGGGCAGUUCUGUUACUACCUCUAAGCUUACACCUUGUGCGUUCUUCCCAGCUAGAAAUGUG
rnacentral:misc_RNA from 1 species